rnacentral:rRNA from 1 species
CCUACGGGAGGCAGCAGUGAGGAAUAUUGGUCAAUGGCCGAGAGCCUGAACCAGCCAAGUCGCGUGAGGGAAGAAUGUCCUAUGGAUUGUAAACCUCUUUUGUCAGGGAGCAAAGUCACGCACGUGUGGUUGUUGGAGUGUACCUGAUGAAAAAGCAUCGGCUAACUCCGUGCCAGCAGCCGCGGUAAUACGGAGGAUCCGAGCGUUAUCCGGAUUUAUUGGGUUUAAAGGGUGCGUAGGCGGGUUAUCAAGUCAGCGGUAAAAUCGUGGAGCUCAACUCCAUACAGCCGUUGAAACUGAGGAGCUUGAGUGGGCGAGAAGCAUGCGGAAUGCGUGGUGUAGCGGUGAAAUGCAUAGAUAUCACGCAGAACUCCGAUUGCGAAGGCAGCAUACCGGCGCCCGACUGACGCUGAUGCACGAAAGCGUGGGGAUCGAACAGGAUUAGAUACCCUAGUAGUC